CUAGCGUCAGAAAGCGGGUGCUGACAUCUCGAAUGGCAGGAUUUAUGCAGAACCUGCAAGAUAGAAAGGUGUCCAAGUCAAUGAUGCAUGAAGUGGAGAAGCCAGACAGUGACUUGACAGUUCAAGCUGCUCUUGCAAGAGGUGCAGAAAAUGGAAGAGUGAUCCAAUCAUGCACUUUACACUGUGAAAGUCAGAAUCUUGAUUUGCCUGUAGACAAAAAUGACUUCUUAAAGGUAUCCACUAAUGGCCUGAUGGAUGUAGUGAACACAAAUGGACCAAAUGACAUGGUCAACAUCGAUAAACAUGGAGAUCUGAAGUCAAACAGCAUCCUGAUCACAAUGUGCGGUGAAUGCUCAGAUCUGAAGGAGAGUUUCACUGCAUCUGUACCUCUCAUAUCCCGAUUGAGGCCAGUGGAAGAUCGUCUGCUGCAGACUGCUGCCUAUGGAGCAAGCUCACAGUUUGAGCCGAGUACUUGCUCUCAGUCUGCUCGUGGUGGAGCUGCUAUUUGUAACAAAAACCGAUGGAAUCAGUCUAGCCAGCAGAUAUUUGUAAGACCUCGAUGGCAUUUCUUGCACUCACCUAUAGAAGGAGUUGUGUUAAUGAAUGACAGGGCCAAGUGGUCCUUGAAGGAUCCUGAUGUUGUGCAUCAGAAUACAUUGACAUCCCUCAACUUUCUGCUGACCAGCAGCUUAGAGGAGGGAUGUUACAAUACUACCAUUGCCACUGCACACUUGCUGACAUCACAGUGCCCAUCGGAGCAGAUGAUUUGGUGUCUAGUGAGCAUAUUAAAGGAAGCUAAAGAGGAGAGUACAUUGAAUGCAGCUUACUCUUUGCUUAUGACGUGGCUGAAGCAACAUCCUCCUAUUGAUUCCGACAUCAGGAUUUUGUAUGAAAAAGGACUCAAGCUGUAUGACUGGGAUUCUGUUCAAGAAAUAAUAGAGCUGUCAGUAGAUACAGCAGCAGGCGAGACUGAGCAGCUGCUGGCAUCUUGGGGUGGGGCACGGCUGCAUCUAAAAUUCCUGCUGGCAACAUUAGAAUGCAACUUUCUGCACUUUCUACACAACAUCAACAAGCAAGGGGCAUGUAAUUGCUUGCUCAUCCGCUGCCUCUGGGCCCCUUCCUACCAGAUCUGCUGCAACCCUCGUAUUCGAAGGCUUCUCACAUUUCUACAGAGAUCUCUUAAGGCCUUCAAAUCAGCACAGGCAUGCUGGGAGGAAAUCCUAGGUUUACUUGCAAUGGUGGCUCAGUGCUGCCAUCUUGCAGACAAUAACUGGCAGUGGGGGGAGGCCGUGUGCUCAGGAGGGGUUAGCACAACUUACUUCGUACAGGAGCUUGCAGCAUCAGUCUCUGUUUGUGACAGACAAAUCCUUCAGCUGGUGUUGUCAAGAAUCCCAGCGCCCUGGCUCCGGGGGCAGUUGUCAGCAGCCCUGCUGUCCAACUACGAUGACUACCUUGUUCCUGGUGGCUUGUUGUCAGACCAGUGGUCACUGGCCAAAAUUGUGUCGCAGUUCUUUUAUCUUCUGCCCAAUAUGAGUCACACCAGUGACAGUGAGUUCACCAGAAAAAAGACAGCAGAAACAGACAUUGUGGAUCCAGAUGUAUCAACAUCAUUGGCUGGCCAACGACUCACUGCAGACAGGAUCAACAAAAGGAAUCCAAAAGGGGAGACAUUGCUUCACCGAGCAGCCAUCAAAAAUGAUGUUGUCCUUCUGAAACAAAUGUUAUCAGUCCCAGGUGUAGAUGUCAAUGCCCAGGACAAUGCUGGUUGGUCACCUUUACAUGAAGCUUGUCAUCAUGGCAAUGUGGAGUGCGUCAGAGCACUGCUUAAGUUUGUUCCUAAGAAGACUAUUGACGCAUAUACUUCUGGAGCAGGGAAAUUGAAGCGUGUUGAUAUUCGAGCACUCAGUGAGGAGAAGAUCACCCCUCUUCAUGAUGCUGUCCUGAAGAACCAUGUCAGCGUUGUUACACUGCUUCUCCAAUAUGGAGGUGGGUACCAGUUUACUCCAGGCUAGAACUGUCCUUGGCAACACGCCUUUGGAUCUUGCGAGGACAGAGGAGAUGCGACAGGUGCUGACUUCUGCAAAGUCUGUGGACACCUAAGCUGUCACAAGAUUUAUUAUCCCACCAGUCGUCUUGUACAGGGCACCUGCCACCCUCCUCAUUUCUGUACAGCCAGGUGCUAGGGGAUGCUGACGUCACAGUCACUGCUUCUGCUGAGGACUGUGCACAGUUUUUGGAUCUUCUUGUGUGUGUGCUGAAGGCUGAUCUACAGAUAAAACGCUUACAGCAGUCAGGUGGUAACAGUCAGCAAUUUCAACACAGUCUUCUGCUGACUCGGCACCAUGAGGCUGCAGCAGGUCAGGAGAAAGUUGUUGGUGUUGCAGACAGCGUAACAAGAGCCAGGAAGAAGGCUAAGUUUCACAGUAAAUGUUUAUGUAGACAUCUACACAAAAUCACCACUCCAGAUGUCUUCCAGGGCUUACACUUUCAGCUGGCGCUGGUUGAUGAAUUGUUGAAGGAAUGCUUUCUGUAUGAAUACCAUACUGGAAUGUUGAGAUAAGGUUGAAGAAUUACUGAAGGUGUGCAUGUUGUGUUGGAGCCAAAAGACAGUGGUAUGGUUCAAGAAUUAUUGAAGGUGCAUUCUUUGCCACAUGGCAGUGUAAAGAUUGAGUGGCUUGGCUGUUAAAAAAAACAACUUUAUGCAGGUUUUCACGCUUGCUUUGGUGUAGUGAAAAUAUACUAGUGUGAAUGUUGAUGUUGUGUAAACAAUCUUUGCAACUGUGGUGAAUGUUGAUGAAUAAAUGCUCCAGAAUUUGUGGGUGUCAGUCACUCAUCACCUCUGGUUAGCUGAUGGUGCAUUGCCUCCCUUUCAGUCAGGAUGGGCUUUUUUGUUUGAAAGAUGGUUCCCUUGGUGGCGAUACCUUUCAUGCCUGUACUUGUUGUCCAGCACCACUAUUACGUGCAUCAUGUUUUCCAGGUUUGAUGGAGUGUGAAUGGUUUUAUGGGAAAUGUCUAUUAUCUCAUUUUGUCAGUUGCCUGAAUACAUACAUCAGGAGCAAAGAAUGACAAGUGUGUUGAGCUAUCCCCAAGAAGUUUUUUAAAUCCAGCAUGUCUUGAUCACCAUUGUUUGUCCAUGCAUGUCUUAAUUACCAUUGUUUGUCCACAGUUGGCUGGCUCAGCAUUAAACACCAGCAUAUUGCUUUAUAACUGAAAAACUAUGUAAAAUCAGUCCAAUCAUCACCACCUCAAUGUUUUGGAUACACACUUAAUACUUCUCCUGCCAUAGUGUGUGUCCACCUGUAAGCAUGCCCAUGUGUGCUUGUAUAUGUACAGUCCAUAAACAUUGCUCAGGUCUGAUAAAGAACGUAAACAAUCACUGCUAUGAUCAGUUUUCUUCACAAAUGUUACUUUUUUAAUUUGAGAAGCAUUCUUCAAGGGAAGGUGGUACUACUUGAAAAGCGGAAUUACAGUCCUUGUGUUCUUCCUGUAGAUUUGACUUUUUUCUUUGAUUGUACAUUUUUUGCAGAUAAUAAAGCUUUAAAAAAUAUAAUUAAAACAUAAUCUAUGACUUAAGAUAAAAGCAAGCCUUUGCACAGAUAUUGUAUAGAAGUACUUUUUAUGAUUGUUUGUUAAAGGUUUUAAAAGUGUUUGUUAUUUUAAAGCAAUAUGUCUUUAAAAGGUGGUGCAUUUUUCUUGCUAUGCAUGACAUUAUAAUUGAUGCUGAAAGACAAUAGUUUCAUUACAACUUGAUCCAAGGAUUAAAACAAGUUAAAGGCAAAA